ACGGAACUUCAGGAAGGAACAUUGCAGUUUUGGGCUAGUGUUGGCAGUGUGGCAUGUCUGUGUUUCAGGAGCCAAAUGACUCCGGCGAAUCAGGCCUACCUGGUACGUCGGUCAUGGCACACCUCAGACCGAAUGGACCCUCUCUGGGUCUUUGGUUCUUCGUUCCACUAAUCCUAUUCGUUUGCCCCUCACACAAAUGUGAAGGCUGAUGUAUAUUAGCCUGUAGUUGUGGGAGGGGCUAUGGUUAUUUAACCAACGCCUCUCCCUUCCACAGCUACGUUACAGCUCCUAACGUUGCCCUCCCUGCCCCCCCUCUAUUUAUUCAUUUCCUUCCUUUUAUUUCCUCUUUUCUCCUCUAUCCUUUCUUUCAUUUCUAUUUACGGGGUGGCCCUCUAUAGGCCUACCUGGUACGUCGGUCAUGGCACACCUCAGACCGAAUGGACCCUCUCUGGGUCUUUGGUUCUUCGUUCCACUAAUCCUAUUCGUUUGCCCCUCACACAAUUUAAAAGAA